UACGUAGGGGGCAAGCGUUGUCCGGAAUCAUUGGGCGUAAAGCGCGCGUAGGCGGCCCGGUAAGUCCGCUGUAAAAGUCCAGGGCUCAACCCUGGAAUGCCAGUGGAAACUGUCGGGCUAGAGUCCGGAAGAGGCGAGUGGAAUUCCUGGUGUAGCGGUGAAAUGCGCAGAUAUCAGGAGGAACACCGAUGGCGAAGGCAGCUCGCUGGGACGGUACUGACGCUGAGACGCGAAAGCGUGGGGAGCAAACAGG
rnacentral:rRNA from 1 species